rnacentral:lncRNA from 1 species
GCAUAUAUGAUUAGAGCAGGAAGGUACCUUCCUUACCUUACCCAAAAGAAAUCACAGUUCUAAUCUCUGUCCCUAUUCAACUAGGUGCAAUAUAAUUUUUCAUUUUCUGGUCAAAACUGCUAUUCUGUUAGAGGCUACAUAGUGGUAAUUAGUGGAAUGGGUCUCCAUCUACCUUGUAGAGAUCUUGUGAAACUCAUAAAGCUUAUUGGCAUCCUUCUUUAAAGAGUCUAUAGAAGUUCAAAGGACUACUAAAAUGUUAAAUGAAAUUUCUUUCAAUGUGUCAAAGAUAUUUUUUCUUUCUGAGAACAAGAUUUAGGGUGCCUUUGAAGUUUAUAAUUACUUCAAAUUACUUGAGCCACACUAGAUAGUUCCUAGUAAGCAUGCAUGAAGGAUGUUAAUAAAUAUUGAGUCAAUGUUUUCCCUUUGAACUCAGGGAGGCAGAAGGAAUAUUCCAUCCCAACCAUAUAAAGGAGAAAUAUACUCAUCUAAUCCUUACUAGAUUUUCUUCUUAUAGUAAGAUUAUGCAGCAAAAUUGCUCUAGAAAGUAAAAACUAAAUAACUGAGAAUAUACUGUCUCUACUUGACCCUAAACCAGGGUCCUACACUUGAGGAUAAGGCUUCAAUUUAGGGGUCCUGUAAUAAGAAAGAGUCUAGGGUACCCCACAAGACAAGAACACUAUUCAUUUCUAUUGCCAGAAAGCCCCAGAAUUUUGCUUCUUCUUUUCCUUCCUUCCUUCCUUCCUUCCUUCCUUCCUUCCUUCCUUCCUAACGUCCUUCCUUUCUCUUUCUUUCUUUCUUUCUUUCUUUCUAACGUUCUUUCUUUCUUUCUUUCUUUCUUUCUUUCUUUCUUUCUUUCUUUCUUUCUCUUCCUUCCUUCCUUCCUUUCUUUCUUUCUUUCUUUCUUUCUUUCUUUCUUUCUUUCUUUCUUUCUCUUCCUUCCUUCCUUCCUUCCUUCCUUCCUUCCUUCCUUCCUUCCUCUCUAACUUUUACUUAACAAAAUUAAUUAAUUAAUUAAUUAAUUCACAAACUACAAGACAAAAAACACUAAUAUUUGAAACACUUGAAUGGAAAUAAAGUG